rnacentral:rRNA from 1 species
GACGUAGGAGGCGAGCGUUAUCCGGAUUCACUGGGCGUAAAGCGCAUGUAGGCGGUUGGACAAGUCGUGUGUUAAAGCCCCUGGCUCAACUGGGGGAGGUCAUGCGAGACUGUGCGACUUGAGGGCAAGAGAGGCACGUGGAACUCCCGGUGUAGCGGUGGAAUGCGUAGAGAUUGGAAAGAACACCGAUGGCGAAGGCACUUUACUGGGCUAUUACUAACACUCAGAGACGAAAGCUAGGGUAGCAAAUGGG